GACGAACGCUGGCGGCGUGCUUAACACAUGCAAGUCGAACGGAAAGGCCCCUUUGGGGGUCCUCGAGUGGCGAACGGGUGCGUAACACGUGAGUAACCUGCCCUUGACUUCGGGAUAACUUCAGGAAACUGGGGCUAAUACCGGAUAGGAAUCCUUGCUGCAUGGUGGGGGUUGGAAAGCUUCGGCGGUGUUGGAUGGACUCGCGGCUUAUCAGCUUGUUGGUGGGGUAGUGGCUUACCAAGGCUUUGACGGGUAGCCGGCCUGGGAGGGCGACCGGCCACAUUGGGACUGAGAUACGGCCCAGACUCCUACGGGAGGCAGCAGGGGGGAAUAUUGCACAAUGGGCGGAAGCCUGAUGCAGCAACGCCGCGUGCGGGAUGACGGCCUUCGGGUUGUAAACCGCUUUCAGCAGGGGCGAAGCUUUUGUGACGGUACCUGCAGAAGAAGCACCGGCUAACUACGUG
rnacentral:rRNA from 1 species